GACGAACGCUGGCGGCGUGCCUAAUACAUGCAAGUAGAACGCUGAAGAGAGGAGCUUGCUCUUCUUGGAAGAGUUGCGAACGGGUGAGUAACGCGUAGGUAACCUGCCUUGUAGCGGGGGAUAACUAUUGGAAACGAUAGCUAAUACCGCAUAACAAUGGGUGACCCAUGUCAUUCAUUUGAAAGGGGCAACUGCUCCACUACAAGAUGGACCUGCGUUGUAUUAGCUAGUAGGUGAGGUAACGGCUCACCUAGGCGACGAUACAUAGCCGACCUGAGAGGGUGAUCGGCCACACUGGGACUGAGACACGGCCCAGACUCCUACGGGAGGCAGCAGUAGGGAAUCUUCGGCAAUGGCGGGCAACCCUGACCGAGCAAC
rnacentral:rRNA from 1 species